AUUUAUCUUUCCAAGACUACUAUUUCAUGCUUCCCAAGGCAGCUGCACUGUAUGUGAGAGCAGCAUGGAAAAGCACUAACAGCUCAAGUAAGUAUAAUACUGGCGGCUGCCAUUCUCCUUCCCUGUAAUG
rnacentral:snoRNA from 1 species